UUUUAAGACUAUAAAAAAAUCUAUUUAAACGAAAAUAAUUUCCGAAAAAUAAGCCAUUAAAUGAGUAAAAAAAAAUAUUGGUUUAAUGGUGAAAGAUUUGAAUAUUAUGCCGUGUUGGUGUUUCAUCCUCCUGUCCAAUGUAAAAAAAAAAAUAAAAAAAUAGAGAAAAAUAAAAAGAAUAAUCAUUUCAUUUCCAAACGAAAUAGACAUAGAUCGAUCCUCUCCAACCCUCUUCCAGUUUCUGUUAUCCCUUAUCAGUGUAACUGUUCAAGGGAGAAGAACACCCAAAGGACUUCAACACAACCUCGUCACUUUCCCUUCACUGUGAGUCUCUCUCUCUCCACUCUCUCUCUCUCUCUCUCUCUCACACACACACACACACACACACAAUGAUUUUUAAUUUCCCAGAAUUUUAAAAGGGUUCAAUGAUUCUAUCCAAUGCAAUGAAAUUUUGGGUUUCUUUCUUUUGAGUAUUUACUUUCCUUGUUUUUUCAAAGUUUAUAUUUUUCUGCUAGUUUCAUUUCAAUAUCUUCAACAACGGCUCAGUGUGUGACAUGAUACCCUUUUGUUUAUGCAGAUUCAAUGGUACCCUACUCUUAAAAAACAUCAAAGUUAUGAACUUUUCUUGUGCCAUAACAAAACCCAAUUUUCCAUUUUG
rnacentral:lncRNA from 1 species